CCCUUAGAUGUUCUGGGCCGCACGCGCGCUACACUGAUCGAUUCAACGAGUGUUUUGGUGUUUGCCAUUGCGCAGCACCGAGUUCCUUUGCCGGAAGGCAUGGGUAAUCUUUUCAACGUCGAUCGUGAUGGGGCUAGAUUCUUGCAAUUAUUAAUCUCCAACGAGGAAUUCCUAGUAAACGCAAGUCAUCAGCUUGCAUUGAAUACGUCCCUGCCCUUUGUACACACCGCCCGUCGCACCUACCGAUUGAAUGCUCAGGUGAGCCAUUCGGACUUUCAUCAUGCUGGUUUCCAGUUUUGAUGAAGGAAAGUCUUGCGAACCUUAUCAUUUAGAGGAAGGAGAAGUCGUAACA
rnacentral:rRNA from 1 species